CAGUCGCCGCGGUAAUACGGAGGGAGCUAGCGUUAAUCGGAAUUACUGGGCGUAAAGCGUGCGCAGGCGGUUCUAUAAGACAGAUGUGAAAUCCCCGGGCUCAACCUGGGAACUGCAUUUGUGACUGUAGAGCUGGAGUGCGGCAGAGGGGGAUGGAAUUCCGCGUGUAGCAGUGAAAUGCGUAGAUAUGCGGAGGAACACCGAUGGCGAAGGCAAUCCCCUGGGCCUGCACUGACGCUCAUGCACGAAAGCGUGGGGAGCAAACAGGAUUAGAUACCCGCGUAGUCCCUGUCUCUUAUAC
rnacentral:rRNA from 1 species